rnacentral:rRNA from 1 species
CCUACGGGAGGCUGCAGUGGGGAAUAUUGGACAAUGGGGGCAACCCUGAUCCAGCCAUGCCGCGUGUGUGAAGAAGGCCCUCGGGUUGUAAAGCACUUUCAGUGAGGAAGAACGCCUGGUGGUUAAUACCCAUCAGGAAAGACAUCACUCACAGAAGAAGCACCGGUUAACUCCGUGCCAGCAGCCGCGGUAAUACGGAGGGUGCGAGCGUUAAUCGGAAUUACUGGGCGUAAAGCGCGCGUAGGUGGCUUGAUAAGCCGGUUGUGAAAGCCCCGGGCUCAACCUGGGAACGGCAUCCGGAACUGUCAAGCUAGAGUGCAGGAGAGGAAGGUAGAAUUCCCGGUGUAGCGGUGAAAUGCGUAGAGAUCGGGAGGAAUACCAGUGGCGAAGGCGGCCUUCUGGACUGACACUGACACUGAGGUGCGAAAGCGUGGGUAGCAAACAGGAUUAGAUACCCUUGUAGUC